UUUAUUAAAUUUUUUAAUGACAAAAAAAAUUAUUUAUAAUUAUUAUUAUUAAUUCAAAAUUUCACCUAAAAUCAAUAAAUUUAAUUAUAAUUUUUAUUACAAUUUAAAUUAAUAUUAGAAAAAAUUAAUUUAUAAGUCGAGUUUAACCGCUAUUGCUGGCACUCAUAUUUAUCCUUACUAGAACUAAUUUCCGAAUAAAACUUUCAUUCAUUGUUUCAGAACUCUCUAUUAAUUAUAAUUUACUAUAAUUUUUAAUAAUUUUUAUAUUUUAUAUAUAAAUCAAUUAAUACAAUUAAUCUUAAAAACUACAACAUGAUUUAUUUAAUAAAUUUAUAAU
rnacentral:rRNA from 1 species